GGGGUUGUAGCUCAGCAAGCAGGGUGCUUGCCUGUCGUGCGUGAGGAUCUAGGUUCGAUCCCCAGCACUUCCU
rnacentral:tRNA from 1 species